rnacentral:antisense_RNA from 1 species
CUUCAGCGAACCCAGGCGCAGCGGCCGGUCGGCGGGCCGGUCCUGGCCGUAGGCGGCCAUCAGCGCCUGCGCCUC